rnacentral:lncRNA from 1 species
AUUUCUCAGCCUUUGGUUCAGAGUUGGCUCUGAUACCACGUGAUACGAUCCAAGGUGAUCUACUCUGAAGAAUAAAGGCUACAAGUGCGAAGAUGGCUUGAUGAUGUUGUGAUAGAGCUAUGGAGAUCGGAUCGAUGGUGACGAUGGUGGCUUGGCAGAUCGAUGGUGAUGAUGGUUUAGGAUGAGAAGAUGAUCGAUUGUUGGUGUGGUGAUGAUGAGAUGAUAUCGAUGGAAUGGUGAUGGUAGUAUGAUGGUUGAAUCGGUGGAAUGGAGAGAUAGAAGAAUCUCUUGUAAACAGAUUAGUUUUUAAGAGAUUCGAAUUUCAGAGUUUUUAGUUCUCAGAAAUCAAAGAGAGAAGAACACGUUAAAAGUUUGAUCAAAAUUCUUCACUCAAUAUGACAUAGGCGAUUUUCUCUCUUAAAUAGAUUUAGAGAGAAAUCGCAGCCCUAAGAAACAAACUACAUGAAGUCUGAAAUAAAAACAACAAGAAGUUUGAUUUAAAAAAUAAAACAGCGAGGCAUCCCUUCUAAAUCCUAAGUGGUGCGCCUAAAACAACUAGUGCACAAGUCAUUAUGACUUUGCAUGUUAUUACCCAUUAGUAACAACUUCUAAGUAACUCGACGUAGCAAUGAUUUCUGCCUCGUUAAAAACCUUGGAGAAGAACCUCCUUGCCUUCCAAAAUCCUCACCAAGGAAAAGAGUACAGAAUCAUCACCUAAGUUACCUAGUCAUUGUUACUGGGUUCUUCAUUCUUCAAGAUAGAGAUGUUGAAGAUGUGAACUCCAGCCUCCAGUUGAUCGAUGUCCUCUGCGGCUAUGAGUGCGUGAGCCUCCUUAGCCAUCUCUCUAGCUCUGGAACGAGUGAUCCUGCCAGCUACCUCUGGUUCCUCCUCCUCUUGCUGGUCACAAUCAUAUCAUCCUCUCCCUCUUGAAAAGGAUUUGUCCUCAAAUCUGAAUCUGCAACAUAAGGAAGCAAGUCAAAAACAUUGAAAGCAUCAGAAACAUCAUACUUACCUUGAAGAUCAAUCUGAUAGGCGUUGUUGUUGAUUUUUUGAUGACUGCGAAUGGUCCAUCAACUCUGGGCAUUAGCUUGUUCUUUCGCUCAGCUGGAAAUCGCUCCUUCCUCAGAUGGAUCCACACCAGAUCUCCUCUUCGAAAAUCAGCUCCUUUCGUCCUUUGUUGGCAUGCUUCUCAUACUGCUUUGUCUUCUUCUCGAUGUUCUCCUUAGCCUUAGUAUGUAUUCUUCGGACCUGUUCAGCUUUCUCCUUGCCAUUCAAGCUGCAUUUUCCACUUAAAGGCAAAGGGAUCAAGUCUAGAGGUGAUUGUGGAUUAAACCCAUAUACAAUUUCAAAAGGAGAAAAGAGAGUAGCGGAAUGCUUAGCGUGAUUGUAAGCAAACUCGACAUGAGGCAGGCACUCUUCCCAUGUCUUGAGGUUACUUUUCACCAAAGUCCUUAGAAGUGUGGACAACGUCCUAUUCACCACCUCGGUCUGUCCAUCGGUCUGAGGAUGACACGUAGUCGAGAAUGAGAGCUUUGUUCCCAGCUUAGCCCAAAGCGUUUGCCAAAAAUGUACUAAGAACUUCGUGUCUCGAUCUGAAACGAUGACCUGUGGCAUUCCAUGCAAUCUUACUACUUCCCUGAAAAACAAGUUAGCUACAUUCACAGCAUCAUCUGUCUUGUCGCUAGCGAUGAAGUGAGCCAUCUUGCUAAACCUGUCAACAACUACAAAAAUAUAAUCUCUACCAUUUCUGGUUCGAGGUAAGCCAACUACAAAAUCCAUAGCGAUAUUAGUCCAAGGUUGAGAAGGAAUAGGCAAAGGAGUAUACAAACCGUGAGGUUGAACUUUACUCUUAGCCAUCUUACAUAUGACACAUCUAGAGCAGAUUUUCUCAACGUAUCAGAUUCAUAAAGAUCUAUAAUGUGCUCAAAUCCAAUCAACUUUGAUGUUAAAGUCGAAAUAAGAGUGUACCUCCGGGAUAAUGCGUCUGCGACCACAUUAUCUUUACCUUUUUUGUACUUAACAAUGUAGGGGAAUGUCUCAAUGAACUCCAUCCAUCGCCCAUGUCUUUUGUUAAGCUUCUGCUGACAUUUGAGGUGCUUUAGAGACUCGUGAUCGGUAUGAAUGACGAAUUCCUUAGGCCAUAGGUAAUGCUGCCACGUCUGGAGAGCUCGAACCAAUGCGUAUAACUCAUUGUCAUACGUGGGAUAAUUCAGCGUUGAUCCCCUAACUUUUCACUGAAGUAAGCGACGGGCUUCUUAUCCUGCAUAAGAACUGCUCCAAUACCUACACCAGAAGCAUCGCAUUCAAUCUCAAAAGUCUUAGUAAAAUCAGGAAGAACUAGUAAGGGCGAAUUGAUAAGCUUCUCUUUAAGGGCUGUAAAAUCCUGUUCUUGCGUCUCUCCCCACUUGAACCCCACGUCUUUCUUGAUUACUUCGGUUAAGGGUGCGGCUAUGGUGCUGAAAUCACGAACAAAACGCCGGUAGAAUCCUGCUAAGCCAUGGAAAUUUCGGACUUCUCCAAUGUUCUUGGGGGUUGGCCACUCUUUGAUAGCUUUUAUCUUUUCUUCGUCUACUUUAACUCCUCCUGCACUUACUACAAAGCCUAAGAAAACAAUUUCGUUAGUGCAGAAUGAACUUUUAGAUAAAUUAGCAAAGAGAGAUUGAGAGCGAAGAACAUCAAGAACCGAUCUGAUGUGGUCUAGAUGUUCUUCCAAACCUUUACUGUAGAUGAGGAUAUCGUCGAAAUAAACCACUGCGAACACGCCAAUGAAUUGUCUCAGGGCAUGGUUCAUUAGUCUCAUGAAAGUGCUAGGCGCAUUGGUGAGGCCAAACGGCAUAACUAGCCACUUGUAGAGUCCUUGCUUUGUCUUGAAUGCCGUCUUCCAUUCGUCUCCUUCUUUCAUUCUGAUCUGAUGAUAUCCACUCUUCAAGUCUAUCUUAGAGAAGAUUGUCGAUCCACAGAGCUCAUCCAGCAUAUCAUCUAGCCUUGGGAUCGGAUGCCGAUACUUCACAGUGAUGUUGUUGAUAGCUCGGCAGUCUACACACAUCCUCCAGGAACCAUCUUUCUUUGGCACCAACAGAACUGGAACCGCACAUGGACUCAAGCUUUCUCGGAUAUGUCCCUUGCUCAUCAGCUCUUCCACUUGCUUUUGCAGCUCCUUAGUCUCUACAGGAUUGGUUCGGUAUGCUGGCCUGUUAGGUAAGGCUGAUCCUGGUACCAAGUCAAUCUGAUGCUCUAUCCCGCGAAUUGGAGGUAGUCCUAAUGGAAUUUCUACUGGAAAAACGUCCUUGUAUUCCUGCAAAAUCUCAAACAUAGCACUAGGAAGCUCCUGUGAAGGGUUAGUACUAACAAGGGAUUCCUUGUAUACAAACAUAAAAGUAGUCAUUUCAGGAUCAAAAAGUUUAGAAAAUUCACUGUGGUUUAUGUAGAGGCUGUUGGCGACUUUCUCCUUCUCCUUGAGCUUAAUCUGAAUCUGAUCUUGGUAAAUCUCGGUAGGCGUGAGAGGUAGGAGGGUAAUUUUGCGACCUUUGAACUCAAAUGAGUGCUUGUUGGUAUAACCGUCGUGUAUCACCCUACGAUCUGAUUGCCACGGUCUGCCUAGCAACACAUGACUCGAACCCAUGGGAAUGACGUCACAUAGAAUCUCAUCUUCAUACUUCCCAAUAGAUAGAGAAACCAUAACUUGCUGAGAUACGGUCAAGGCUCCACUGUCACUCAACCACUGAAGCUUAUACGGUCUUGGAUGAGGAAUAGUCUUGAGCUGGAGCUUCUUAACCAUCUCUUCGCUUGCAGCAUUAGUACAACUUCCUCCAUCUAUGAUCAGACUACAAACUUUGUCCUUAAUGAAGCAUCUCGUAUGAAACAGGUUCUCUCGCUGACAAGUCUCUUCAGGUUGACUCUGAACACUCAAAGUCCUUCUGGCAACCAGCAUCUCGCCCACGGCAGCAGCUUCUUCCUCUUCCUCUAUUUCAUAUUCGGCCUCUGAAUCCUCUUGAGGAACUAUCUCUCCUCCCUCUUGUAACAAGAAAACCUUCUUGUUUGGACAAUCUCGAGGGUAAUGUCCCAUUCCUUGACAUUUGAAACACCUCACAUUGCUGAUAGCAGUACCACUUCUAGGUUUGAACUCAGCGUUAGCUUCUUCUUUAACUCCAGUAGAGGGUGGUUUGAUGUCCCUGGAGUAAGAUGGUUUGCUGAUCUCCUUAGGCUUAGGCACACCAGGCGUGAAUGUGGACUUGAAAUUUCGCCUCUUGACUUGAGAUUCCACCAAUUCAGCCUUAUGCACCAUCUCUUGUAUAUCUGCGAAAUCCUGAAGUUCCACCUUGUCCUGAAUUUCUCGGUUAAGUCCUCCAAGAAAUCUCGACAUUACCAUCUCUUCUCCUUCUCGUAAGUCUGCACGAAUGAGCAAAGUUUCCAAUUCCUGAUAAUAAUCUCGAACAGACUUUGUACCUUGGACGAGGCGCCUAAGCUUGUUGAGUAUAUCGCGCUGAUGAUGGGCCGGAACGAACCGCUUCCUCAUCUGUAUAACAAGCUGAUCCCAAGUAGUAAUCGGAAGUUCCCUCAGGCGAUUUCUGGUGACUCCCAACUGCUCCCACCAUAGAAGCGCAUACCCAUGAAAUUCUGAAACUGCAAUCUUCACCUUGUUGAGCUCGUAAGUUCCUUGGACCAGAAAAUUAGACUCCAUCUUCCUUUCCCAAUCUAGAUAAGCUUCGGGAUCAUUAGUUCCAUGGAAAGGAGGAUACUGGAUUUUGAUGUGACGCAGCUGCUGACGUAGAGGAUCAUAAUCUCGACCAUGUCCUCGGCCUCGAUCUCGUCUCACAGUUUCUCUGCUAUGAUCAGAAGCUUCUUCCUCCUCAUAGUAUUCUGGAUCUGAUUCCAGGGUAACUCGAUGCCCAGCAAUAUAUUCCUCUCGGCGGUGCUGACGAUCUACCCUUGGGCCAUCUCGUUCUGCACCAGUAGGAUUCCUCCUCGGAUUAAACGUAGUUUCUCUGCCCCCAAUUUGGCUUCGGCUGGACUUAGCUUUAGUCCUGGCUUCGGAAGGUGUUGGGUGGCGUGGGAGUUUCCGGGAAGAUCCUAUGUGUCCUUUACCCUUAGCUAAGCGCAUUGCUUCCGACGGAGUUGGAGUUUGAGACGACUCUUCUCCACUUGCACUGAGAUCUUUGAGCAGAUCAUUCAUCUUUGUCUCGAACUUAUCAUUGAGUUGUUCGAUUUGUUGUGUGAGCUGAGUUGCUAUGGCUUGAUUCGCUUCUUUAAUUUGUUGAGACAUUGCUCGGUUCAGAGCUUCCAUCGCCUCAGCCGAAAUCUCCAUGGUACCUGAAAAAAAUUUUAAAAAAACUCGCAGCAUGAUCGAACUAAACUCAACAUAAAAAAAAAAUUAAACGAACCCCACGAAAUCUAAAAACAAACUUAACGAAAUUAAAGAAAUUUAACGAAAUUUUUUUUUUUUGUACUCUAACGAAGAUAUAGAAGUGAUGCAGCAAAACAAACUAAUAUCGAACACGACCUAACAAAUAACAAAAGCAAAAACGAAUGAUACAGCGAUUAAAAGAGAGAAACAGUUUGAUGCACACACAACCUAACUCGCUAAGCCCUAAUAAUCGAAGCACGAAUUCAGAACACAAAUUCAGAUCAGUAAAUCGCGAUUAGGGUUAGCGAUUUCUCAGCCUUUGGUUCAGAGUUGGCUCUGAUACCACGUGAUACGAUCCAAGGUGAUCUACUCUGAAGAAUAAAGGCUACAAGUGCGAAGAUGGCUUGAUGAUGUUGUGAUAGAGCUAUGGAGAUCGGAUCGAUGGUGACGAUGGUGGCUUGGCGGAUCGAUGGUGAUGAUGGUGGCUCGGCGGAUCGAUGGAUAUGGUGGAGGAUGAGAAGAUGAUCGAUUGUUGGUGUGGUGAUGAUGAGAUGAUAUCGAUGGAAUGGUGUUGGUAGUAUGAUGGUUGAAUCGAUGGAAUGGAGAGAUAGAAGAAUCUCUUGUAAACAUAUUAGUU